AAGAAGAGAAAAAUCUCUUGAAACAUACAAGGAGGAAGAGGGCUUGGUGCUUAUCCACCUUUCCCCAAGAGACAGUAUGCUAACGAAAUACUGGUGUCUUGGAUGGAACCUGAGGGGACAGAGAGCGACGUGACACCUUGUGGAGGCUCCCCCCUUGCUCCCCUCAGCAAGUGCCACCGGCCAGCCUCACCAGCAGUAAUAAGAGAAGACAGAUGGAAGGUAUUAAUACAGCAAACUCACAGCUGGAUAGCACCAACCUGACCCAGGAGAAACUCCCCAGCCUGCCAGCUACAUUCCCUCUUGGAUUAUCUCCUCCAAAUUUAGCCCAUGCGCAGAGUCAAGGGAAACUACUCUCUCUAGUUCAAUAACCUGUGAAGCAUCAGGUGUCAACAGUUGUCUCAUGGCUCUAGAAAAAUGUUUUAGGAACUGAGGUACAGCCCCCAGAUAAAAAAGGCAGUUAUUCCAUAAAUGUUGACUGGGCAUCUUCCCUGUUCCUGGCAGCGUACGAGACUCCAGGAAUACAAGGAUGAAUGAAUAGCAGAGCUCCCUUGACAGAGAUCCACAUGCACCGCCUGGAAAGGUACGAGAUGCUAACUGCCUUUGUCUCCUUACCAUUUGUUGACAUCUCUAUGCCACCCAGUGCCUGGGACAUAGCAGGUGCUCAGUGAGAACUGAGGAAAUGGAUUCACAGUAUGGAAGGUGAUGCUUUGAGAAGUUGUGUGCUGUUGUCUCUGGAAACCCUCAAGCUGAAGUACUUGCCAGAGAUAUUCAUUCAUUCAUCCAGCAAAUAUUUACUGAGGAGUAAUACAUGUUUAUUUAUAAAAGGCAAAUAAAUAUUUAUAUAUUUCUA